UACGUAGGGGGCAAGCGUUGUCCGGAUUUAUUGGGCGUAAAGAGCGUGUAGGCGGCUAGGUAGGUCCGUUGUGAAAACUCGAGGCUCAACCUCGAGACGUCGAUGGAAACCAUCUAGCUAGAGUCCGGAAGAGGAGAGUGGAAUUCCUGGUGUAGCGGUGAAAUGCGCAGAUAUCAGGAGGAACACCGAUGGCGAAGGCAGGUCUCUGGGCAUUAACUGACGCUGAGGAGCGAAAGCAUGGGGAGCGAACAGG
rnacentral:rRNA from 1 species